rfam:Pongo abelii chromosome 6.
GGGAAAUGAGAAGAGGGGCCAGCCUCAGGCCCUACAACAAACUGGGGCA